rnacentral:sRNA from 1 species
UGCUUGUGUGAUGCAACCUGCAGUGGUGCUUACAACUUAUCAAUCGCAACCACUUACAGACUUCCUGUUCCUUCUCCACUCCCACUGCUUCAUUGGACUAGCUUAA